GAGAGAGAGAGAGAGGGGAGGGUGAGAGAGAGGGAGGGAAUAGGUCUGUUGGCAUAUUGGGGACAGACAGGGAGGUAAGGGUCUGGGUAUCUGAAGUAUGGGUUCGGGGAGCCCAGGUUCUCGUGUACAGAGGGAGGUAUGGGGGUGUAGAGGGAGGUAUCUGAAGUAUGGGUUCGGGGAGCCCAGGUUCUCGUGUACAGAGGGAGGUAUGGGGGUGUAGAGGGAGGUACUGUGGUACCUGAAGUAUCGGUUCUGGGAGCCCAGGUUCUUGUCCAUGGCGUCGAGAGAGC